GCCAGUGUGAUGUAGUGGUUCGUGCGUUAUACUACAACUAUGGAGAUCAGGGUUUGAUUCCCUGCUCAGCUA